rnacentral:tRNA from 1 species
GCAAGAGUGGCGAAAUUGGCAGACGCGCUGGACUUAGGAUCCAGUUCUAGAGAUAGAGUGUGGGUUCAAGUCCCUCCUCUUGCACCA